rnacentral:rRNA from 1 species
UACGGGGGGAGCAAGCGUUGUUCGGAUUUACUGGGCGUAAAGGGCGCGUAGGCGGCCACCGCAAGUCGACUGUGAAAUCUCCGGGCUUAACCCGGAAAGGUCAGCCGAUACUGCGGGGCUAGAGUGCAGAAGGGGCAACUGGAAUUCUCGGUGUAGCGGUGAAAUGCGUAGAUAUCGAGAGGAACACCUGCGGCGAAGGCGGGUUGCUGGGCUGACACUGACGCUGAGGCGCGAAGGCCAGGGGAGCAAACGGG